rnacentral:rRNA from 1 species
CCUACGGGAGGCAGCAGUGAGGAAUAUUGGUCAAUGGACGAGAGUCUGAACCAGCCAAGUAGCGUGAGUGAAGAAGUAUUUCGGUACGUAAAGCUCUAUCAGCAGGAAAGAAAAUGACGGUACCUGACUAAGAAGCCCCGGCUAACUACGUGCCAGCAGCCGCGGUAAUACGUAGGGGGCAAGCGUUAUCCGGAUUUACUGGGUGUAAAGGGAGCGUAGACGGCAGCGCAAGUCUGGAGUGAAAUGCCGGGGCCCAACCCCGGAACUGCUCUGGAAACUGUGAAGCUGGAGUGCAGGAGAGGUAAGCGGAAUUCCUGGUGUAGCGGUGAAAUGCGUAGAUAUCAGGAGGAACACCGGCGGCGAAGGCGGCUUACUGGACUGUAACUGACGUUGAGGCUCGAAGGCGUGGGGAGCAAACAGGAUUAGAUACCCUUGUAGUC